CCGAGUUUACAACUCCCAAACCCCUGUGAACAUACCUAUCGUUGCUUCGGCGGGAACGCCCCGGUGCCUUGCCGCCCGGAACCAGGCGCCCGCCGGAGACCCCAAACUCUUGUCUUUGUACGUAUUCUGAGUGGCAUAAAGCAAAAAAUGAAUCA
rnacentral:misc_RNA from 1 species